CUAUGGAUUAAACGUCACAAAAGAAAAUAAAUAAAUCCUCUGGCCUGCAUACAAUCUACAAUUAAUCCUGUAUUCUGUUCUGCAUACUCCACACAACCAGCACAGCUGUCGCCGUGCCUUAAAGAUCUCUCUUAGGUACUACAAAAUUCCUUUGCUAUUUGGAUGCAAUCGAUGUAUGUAUAUCCUUACAACCAUGCAUCCCUUAUCAAAUUCUUUGGGAUUGUCCCAAACUCAAGGUGUACAUAAGGGAUUAUGCAUAUUGGCGUGCGCUUCCUUUCAGCUACUGUAGAUCGGGCUCUAGCUACACACAAAAAAAAAUAAUGAUUAUUCAAGAAACGUUACACCCUCUGUCAGUUGUCUUUACAGAAAAUAUAAAAAUGCAUGCAUAAGAAUAGUCAAGUGUCGCCCACAUCGAUUGUGACAAAGAUUUCAGGAAUGCAAUGAAAACCAUGGAAUUGAAAUGGAACGUGAGUCGGAAUUUAGUAUAUUUUAUAUUUUGUUUUAGCAAUAAGUUCGGGCUGUAAUCCAAAUUGUCAAAAAUGACAUCGUUAAACAUCCUUUACAUUUAACGAACCGAAAGCCUUACCAGCAAAAGAUAAGAAUUAAUAUAUCUAUAGUUUGGCGGAGCUCUGAGUCAUUGGGACAUUUUGGGAUCCUAUGUGGUAUCAUUUUUGCGAUUACAAAAAUGUUUUCACCUUAAUUGAUUCUAGAAAAAGAGAAUAUGUGACGUCAUUUGGUGGUUCUUACACGCUUCUAAAGGGGUGACUAGUUAAAGUGGUCACUUCAAAGAGAGCGCCAACUGUUCGUGUUUGUAAUUCG